rnacentral:rRNA from 1 species
GACGAACGCUGGCGGCGUGCCUAAUACAUGCAAGUAGAACGCACAGUUUAUACCGUAGCUUGCUACACCAUAGACUGUGAGUUGCGAACGGGUGAGUAACGCGUAGGUAACCUGCCUGGUAGCGGGGGAUAACUAUUGGAAACGAUAGCUAAUACCGCAUAAUAUUGAUUAUUGCAUGAUAAUUAAUUGAAAGGGGCAAUUGCACCACUACCAGAUGGACCUGCGUUGUAUUAGCUAGUAGGUGAGGUAACGGCUCACCUAGGCGACGAUACAUAGCCGACCUGAGAGGGUGAUCGGCCACACUGGGACUGAGACACGGCCCAGACUCCUACGGGAGGCAGCAGUAGGGAAUCGUCGGCAAUGGACGAAAGUCUGACCGAGAAACGCCGCGGGAGUGAAGAAGGUUGUCGGAUCGUAAAGCUCUGUUGUAAGAGAAGAACGGGUGUGAGAGUGGAAAGUUCACACUGUGACGGUAUCUUACCAGAAAGGGACGGCUAACUACGUG